rnacentral:misc_RNA from 1 species
AGGUUCUCAACCAAGGUUUGUUCUUCUUUGUAUUAGGAAAUGAGCUUUAUGAUUAUAUCAUUAAAUUUCUAACUCUCUCAUGCAAACAUUUAUUAGUGAGCACUUAGAAAGAUUUAGAUUUUCCACAUGACCUCUACUGUCCAUUGUGUUCUAGUAACCACUAUUUAAGGAAGUGAGUAUGUCUAAAGAUCCAACAAGAGUUUGUUCUCUGUUGAAAGACCCAAACACAAUGAGAGCAGUUGAUUUAUUAGAUUCACCGGUUUAAGUCCAUACGUACUGUUGUUAUGCCAGGCAUGCACUUUGGUCUACUCCUUUUGUCUGCAUAAAUUACCCAAAGACGGUUUCACAUAACAGUAUUUAUUAUGAGCUUGAGGUUACUAAAACUUU